rnacentral:rRNA from 1 species
UUCCAGACUCCUACGGGAGGCAGCAGUGGGGAAUAUUGCACAAUGGGGGAAACCCUGAUGCAGCGACGCCGCGUGAGUGAAGAAGUCUUUCGGUAUGUAAAGCUCUAUCAGCAGGGAAGAAAAUGACGGUACCUGAUUAAGAAGCCCCGGCUAACUACGUGCCAGCAGCCGCGGUAAUACGUAGGGGGCAAGCGUUAUCCGGAUUUACUGGGUGUAAAGGGAGCGUAGACGGCAGCGCAAGUCUGAAGUGAAAUGCCGGGGCUUGACCCCGGAACUGCUUUGGAAACUGUGCAGCUAGAGUGCAGGAGAGGUAAGUGGAAUUCCUAGUGUAGCGGUGAAAUGCGUAGAUAUUAGGAGGAACACCAGUGGCGAAGGCGGUCUGCUGGACAGCAACUGACGCUGAGGCGCGAAAGCGUGGGGAGCAAACAGGAUUAGAUACCCGCGUAA